rnacentral:rRNA from 1 species
GAUGAACGCUGGCGGCGUGCCUAAUACAUGCAAGUCGAGCGGACAGACGCUGAGCUUGCUGCUCUCACGUUAGCCGCGCACGUGUGUGUAACACGUGUAUAACCUCCCUAUCUGACUGAUAUAACUUCGGGACACGGGCUCUAAUCGCGGAUAAUAUCUUGAACCGCAUUGUGCGAUAGUGAGAGACGGUGUUUCUGUCACUUCUCGAUGGAUCUGGGCUUCAUUGGCUAGUUGGUACGUUAACAGCUUAUCAAGGCAACGAUGCGUAGACGAAGUGAGAGAGGGAUAGGCCACACUGGAACUGAGACACGGACAAGAGUACUACGGGAGGCAGCAGUAGGGAAUGUGAGGCAAUGGGCGAAAGCAUGACGGAGCAACGCCGAGUGAGUGAUGAAGGCGCUGGGUUCGUAAAACUCUGUUAUUAGGGAAGAACAGAUGUGGAAGUAACUGUGCACAUAUUGACGGUAACUAAUCAGAAAGCCACGGCUAACUACGUG